CACAUGCAAGUCUCAGCACCCCAGUGAAAAUGCCCACAAACCCCAAACAGACCUCUGGAGCAGGUAUCAGGCCCAAACCUGCUUUUAGCCUAAGACACCUUGCUAUGCCACACCCCCACGGGCACUCAGCAGUGAUUAACAUUAACAAUAAGCGAAAGCUUGACUUAGCCAUGAUUAAUAAAAGUUGGUAAAUUUCGUGCCAGCCACCGCGGUUAUACGAAAAACUUAAUACAAUGACCAUCGGCGUAAAGCGUGACUAGAGCAAUUAAUCAAAACCUUUAAAGACGAACCACUAUAAAGCCGUAAAACGCUACUAUAAGUGAGAACCCCACUAAUCUCU
rnacentral:rRNA from 1 species